CCUACGGGAGGCAGCAGUAAGGAAUCUUCCACAAUGGACGAAAGUCUGAUGGAGCAACGCCGCGUGCAGGAUGAAGGCUUUCGGGUCGUAAACUGCUUUUAUAUGGGAAGAUUAUGACGGUACCAUAUGAAUAAGGACCGGCUAACUACGUGCCAGCAGCCGCGGUAAUACGUAGGGUCCAAGCGAUAUCCGGAAUUACUGGGCGUAAAGCGUGUGUAGGUGGAUUAAUAAGUGUGAUGCGAAAUCCGGCGGCUCAACCGUUUGGACUGUGUCGCAUACUGUUAGUCUAGAGGACGGCAGAGGUAAGUGGAAUUACGGGUGUAGCAGUGAAAUGCGUAGAUAUCCGUAGGAACACCAAUGGCGAAGGCAGCUUACUGGGCCACACCUGACACUGAGACACGAAAGCGUGGGGAGCGAACAGGAUUAGAUACCCUGGUAGUCCACGCCGUAAACGAUGCAUACUAUUAGUAUGGGGUAUCGACCCCCUGUGCUGAGAAGCUAACGCGAUAAGUAUGCCGCCGNGGGAGGUACGAGCGCAGACUAAACUACGAAGAAGUAGACGCGUGAGAGUGCGAGACGACGACGAGGGAGAGG
rnacentral:rRNA from 1 species